GGGCCCGCACAAGCGGUGGAGCAUGUGGUUUAAUUCGAUGAUACGCGAGGAACCUUACCAGGGCUUAAAUGUAGUCUGACAGGGGUGGAAACACCUCCUCCUUCGGGCAGAUUACAAGGUGCUGCAUGGUUGUCGUCAGCUCGUGCCGUGAGGUGUCAGGUUAAGUCCUAUAACGAGCGCAACCCCUGCCGUUAGUUGCCAGCAUGUAAUGAUGGGAACUCUAACGGGACUGCCGGUGCAAACCGCGAGGAAGGUGGGGAUGACGUCAAAUCAUCACGGCCCUUACGUCCUGGGCUACACACGUGCUACAAUGGUCGGUACAGAGAGCAGCCACUACGCGAGUAGGAGCAAAUCUUCAAAGCCGAUCUCAGUUCGGAUCGGAGUCUGCAACUCGACUCCAUGAGGUAGGAAUCGCUAGUAAUCGCGAAU
rnacentral:rRNA from 1 species